rnacentral:rRNA from 2 species
AGAGUUUGAUCAUGGCUCAGAUUGAACGCUGGCGGCAGGCCUAACACAUGCAAGUCGAACGGUAACAGGAAACAGCUUGCUGUUUUGCUGACGAGUGGCGGACGGGUGAGUAAUGUCUGGGAAACUGCCUGAUGGAGGGGGAUAACUACUGGAAACGGUAGCUAAUACCGCAUAAUGUCGCAAGACCAAAGAGGGGGACCUUAGGGCCUCUUGCCAUCGGAUGUGCCCAGAUGGGAUUAGCUGGUAGGUGGGGUAACGGCUCACCUAGGCGACGAUCCCUAGCUGGUCUGAGAGGAUGACCAGCCACACUGGAACUGAGACACGGUCCAGACUCCUACGGGAGGCAGCAGUGGGGAAUAUUGCACAAUGGGCGCAAGCCUGAUGCAGCCAUGCCGCGUGUAUGAAGAAGGCCUUCGGGUUGUAAAGUACUUUCAGCGGGGAGGAAGGGAGUAAAGUUAAUACCUUUGCUCAUUGACGUUACCCGCAGAAGAAGCACCGGCUAACUCCGUGCCAGCAGCCGCGGUAAUACGGAGGGUGCAAGCGUUAAUCGGAAUUACUGGGCGUAAAGCGCACGCAGGCGGUUUGUUAAGUCAGAUGUGAAAUCCCCGGGCUCAACCUGGGAACUGCAUCUGAUACUGGCAAGCUUGAGUCUCGUAGAGGGGGGUAGAAUUCCAGGUGUAGCGGUGAAAUGCGUAGAGAUCUGGAGGAAUACCGGUGGCGAAGGCGGCCCCCUGGACGAAGACUGACGCUCAGGUGCGAAAGCGUGGGGAGCAAACAGGAUUAGAUACCCUGGUAGUCCACGCCGUAAACGAUGUCGACUUGGAGGUUGUGCCCUUGAGGCGUGGCUUCCGGAGCUAACGCGUUAAGUCGACCGCCUGGGGAGUACGGCCGCAAGGUUAAAACUCAAAUGAAUUGACGGGGGCCCGCACAAGCGGUGGAGCAUGUGGUUUAAUUCGAUGCAACGCGAAGAACCUUACCUGGUCUUGACAUCCACGGAAGUUUUCAGAGAUGAGAAUGUGCCUUCGGGAACCGUGAGACAGGUGCUGCAUGGCUGUCGUCAGCUCGUGUUGUGAAAUGUUGGGUUAAGUCCCGCAACGAGCGCAACCCUUAUCCUUUGUUGCCAGCGGUCCGGCCGGGAACUCAAAGGAGACUGCCAGUGAUAAACUGGAGGAAGGUGGGGAUGACGUCAAGUCAUCAUGGCCCUUACGACCAGGGCUACACACGUGCUACAAUGGCGCAUACAAAGAGAAGCGACCUCGCGAGAGCAAGCGGACCUCAUAAAGUGCGUCGUAGUCCGGAUUGGAGUCUGCAACUCGACUCCAUGAAGUCGGAAUCGCUAGUAAUCGUGGAUCAGAAUGCCACGGUGAAUACGUUCCCGGGCCUUGUACACACCGCCCGUCACACCAUGGGAGUGGGUUGCAAAAGAAGUAGGUAGCUUAACCUUCGGGAGGGCGCUUACCACUUUGUGAUUCAUGACUGGGGUGAAGUCGUAACAAGGUAACCGUAGGGGAACCUGCGGUUGGAUCACCU